rnacentral:rRNA from 1 species
UUAAAUUGAAGAGUUUGAUCAUGGCUCAGAUUGAACGCUGGCGGCAGGCCUAACACAUGCAAGUCGAACGGUAACAGGAAACAGCUUGCUGUUUCGCUGACGAGUGGCGGACGGGUGAGUAAUGUCUGGGAAACUGCCUGAUGGAGGGGGAUAACUACUGGAAACGGUAGCUAAUACCGCAUAAUGUCGCAAGACCAAAGAGGGGGACCUUCGGGCCUCUUGCCAUCGGAUGUGCCCAGAUGGG